GUCAACAGUAUCAGUGCUCGUUCUAUAAAAUAUAAACCCUAAUUCAACAAAAGGCUUUUCUUCCCCUUUUUCUAUUCUUCACUCGUUCGAGCUUGGAGGUACCAUAUCUUCUUUCUCUCCUCCAUGUUCUACAUCGAUAUGCAUAUUUAUUAAUAUCCAUGUAGUUUUUUGCUACGUUGAGCUUUGCAGUUUUUUAUUGCAGUUCGUUCGUCGAAUUCUUCUUUAUUUUCUUCUUUUGGGCUCUAUAUAAGGUAAAUUCCGCUACUUCAUCGUUGUAAUUACAUAGAAUAUUUGUGGUUUUCUCCGUCGUGAUAGAAAGUAAUUCCCAUUGGUGAAAUUACAGGAGCAAAUUAUAUGGUGAAUUCCUUGUGCUUUGAAUCCCUAGUUUGGGCUUCGAAGAUUCCCCCGAUUUAGAAAUUUGAAAGUCGAACAGUUGGAUAAGUUUUUGUUUGCUUUGAUUUGUUUCAUUCAAGUUGUUCAUUUAUAUUUUCCGUCCACAAUAUGGGUAUACAAAGAUUCGGGUCAGGGAUGAUUUCCUGUUGUUGAAAUAGGGUAAUGUAUUUGAGUAAAGGGUAGGCGAAUUAAUAUUUAAAAAAAUGUUCCUAAAAUAAGCAUAGUACUGUUACACUCAUCUAUCAUCUGUCUGCAAACUGACAGCUUCUUUCUCGGGGAUCAUGAAAUGGGUAUCAAGACAGACUAAAAUGUUGAAUCACUUUUAUUAAUUAAAACUGGCUAAAGUAUUGGAAGAUGAUUUAAUUAUUGUAUUGUAUCCAAUAUAGGUUUUAGAAACUUAAAGUUCCAUUUUCUGGGGCACUCAUGAACUAGUGUGGUUUUAUUGGUUUUGUAAGUAAUAUCUACAUUGCUCAUAGAAUUACUUCACAUUAAAUCAUCAUUUUUUUUCCACAUGUCUAAUCCUUGCAAUUUCUUAACUCGUCUUGAAACUAGAGCUUCAAGUUUCAGUCUUAUUGACAAUUUAAUGUGUUGUUAGAUUCUUUCAUUCCAUUGGGCUUUUUUGCCAUCUGCUUUUCUCCUCAAUGGCAUGCAUUAUUCUUUGGGUCUUUCUUUUAUUGACCCAUCUUUGGCAAUCCUUAUGCAGGGAGCUUCUAUAGGACAUGGUGAUUUAGGCAGCACUGUUGUCGCAUAUAGAGAUUUUUUUAUAUAAAUUUUGGAUACAUCAGUUGUGCAAGGACACACAUGGCUAAUUCACUGCCUGGUGACUCUUCUCAUCAUGGAACAAACCUGCAGAAUUAUUCUCAGGAAAAACCAGAGGAAGGCAGUCGUUGGUACUUUUCUAGAAAGGAAAUCGAAGAAAACUCUCCAUCCAGAUGUGACGGCAUUGACUUGAAGAAGGAGACUUACUUACGUAAAUCCUACUGCACAUUUCUACAAGAUUUGGGCAUGAGACUGAAAGUGUGAGUUUUUGAAUAUUAAGUUGUGUCUGAUGUUCUUUGUCUAAACUUAAAAUGUUUUGAUUUUCAUAUUAUAUGAUUUUUUUUUCCACAUUUCCAUUAAUGAGAAGUUAGGUUGAAGUCUUAAAGAUCGGUUUAUUUUGCAUGUUCCAACUAUUUGUUUCUUUUUUAAUUGCCAAUUCACAUGUUUUAGAUUUAUGCACAUGUUAUGCAUUUGCUUUGAUCUUAUAAUUUUUUUCUAAUGAUAUAAUAGUCUUUUGUGGAAAAUAAUUUGCAAAAAAGUGUAGGUGGUUUUUUACAAUGUCCUCUGGCUACAAACUGUUGAUAAUGCUUAUCAAUGAGGGAUUAUAAGGACAACUGAUCUUAUUUAGAUUGUUGUUAUAAGAGUUCUUGACAACUUGAAGUUUGUGGAAUGAUUUUCUAAAAUUUUUUGAGGAAUUUUUGUCUUCAACUACUUGAUUAAUAUAAUAAACCCAUCAAAUUGAUAAUACUGUUGCACAUGGCAUGCACUUGUGUUACUAGCCAUCUGAUAAUAAGAUCAAGCACCAAGAAAUAAAAGGAAAAACAAACUGUUUGCUUGUUAAUUUGCAUGUGUAUUGCUGCUAAUGUUAGCGUCAGUUAUUUUUUCAUGGCACUGGGGAUGGUGAUCCCUUAGAAGUUUGUGAAAUGUCAUUGUAACACAUCAAUUUAGUAAAAUUUAGGGAAUAACUGAGUGUCACAGUUCUUUUUUAUGGUUUGUGAACUUCAAGUUUGGGAAAAAGAACACAAUUUUUUGGGUCUUCUAUUCUUCAGAUGGUCCAUGGAAAUUGUUAAGAAUUAUCUAUGCAUAUAUUUGCCUUUAGUGCUUCCUUAUAUUCCACAAUGGGGAAUAAGUCAGGAAAUACAACUCUUUAAGUGGCCUUGACAUGAAUGGUCAUGCCAAAAGUGAACUAUUAACUCUAUAACUUGUAAAUUAUGUGAACCAGUCCAAAUGCCUUUCCCUAGUCCUUCCCCGUGAAUACCCUCAAGCAAUUGCUGAAGCUUAAUGGUACUUCCUCUUUAUAUUUUUUCAUCCCUAGCGCCUGCCUCUGAAGAGCAUCAACUUUCUAAUCUAACCAUUUUCCUAACAGUGCUUUACAAGAAGUACCAACUUUUAACUCUCAACCUCUUUACAGCCCACCAAAUGGCAUUUAGACUUAUCUUCUAAGCCACCUGAGACUUGUUCCUUUGCCAUUUUCACUCCUUGCCAUAUCUUGCUUUCUGUUUGAGAUAUUUUUACCCCUAAAGCAGAAUCAGCGUCGAUGUGAAGUAUCAUUGCUACCUGGUGGCUUUUGCCACCUGCUAAAUUUAAUUCCUUGAUGGAAUACCAAUGCAGUGUGAGUUUUCUCUACUUUACAUGUAGCCAUCUGUCAAAUGUGGUUAAUGAACAUAUGUUCACUGUCAUGGCAUGAUGAACCUUGGAUUUUUUUUUAAAGUGCAGGCCCCAGCUAACAAUUGCUACAUCAAUAAUUUUCUGUCACCGAUUCUUUCUUCGUCAAUCUCAUGCAAAGAAUGAUAGGAGGACUAUUGCCACGGUGUGUAUGUUUCUUGCGGGGAAGGUGGAGGAGACUCCCCGUCCGCUGAAGGAUGUUAUCCUUGUUUCUUAUGAAAUCAUUCAUAAAAAGGAUCCUGAAGCUGUUCAGAGGAUUAAACAGAAGGAGGUAUAUGAACAGCAGAAAGAAUUAAUUUUACUUGGAGAGAGAGUUGUACUUGCAACUCUUGGUUUUGAUCUAAAUGUGCAGCACCCCUAUAAACCUCUUGUUGAUGCAAUAAAGAAAUUUAAGGUUGCUCAAAAUGCCCUUGCUCAGGUGGCAUGGAAUUUUGUGAAUGAUGGACUGCGCACAUCUCUUUGCUUGCAAUUUAAGCCCCACCACAUUGCAGCUGGUGCCAUAUUUCUUGCUGCAAAGUUCCUCAAAGUAAAGCUUCCGUCAGAUGGCGAGAAGGUCUGGUGGCAAGAGUUUGAUGUCACCCCACGCCAAUUAGAAGAGGUGAGCAAUCAGAUGCUUGAACUCUAUGAACAGAAUCGGCCUUCAACUAAUAAUGAAGCUGAAGGAAGCACUGUAGGUGGGGUUUCACAUCAGACCACAUCAAAAGCUUCGUCUGGCAAGGAAGAACAUGCAACAACUAACAGUCAUUCUCAGGCUGGAGGUAUAACUUCGAGACCAGGAACCUCAAAGUCAAUGUCACUUGCAGAUAAUCGUGGUGGGGCUCCAAGAACCACCCAUAAUCAAGGUAAUGAGCAUUUAAGUGGAGAGAUGAAGAGUGCCUCUGAUCACAAUGCUGAUGGUG
rnacentral:misc_RNA from 1 species